rnacentral:lncRNA from 1 species
GUGCAAGAAUAAGCAGUUUGCUAAUUGAUUGUGUAUUUUUCUGUCAUAUGCUUUCAAUCGUUCUGCAUUAAAAAAAUCGUACAUGUGAAUAGGAAGGAACCUUGACGUGGUUCAUGUGCUUUAAAACAAAUACCUUCCAGACAGAAACUUUUUGAUACCUUGUGUAAUACGUUGUUUACAUAGAAUGCGUUGAGGAUUUUGAGAGAUGAAGGGAAUAAGCAGUAAGAAAAAUAAAUGCUUAAGAAGAUGUAUAACAACGAUAAU